ACGUCACUGCGGCUCUGAGCGCGCUAAUGGAGGCACGGGCGGCGGCGGCGUGGCGCGGGUGUCCCCCGGGGAGGUCCCGGUCCUUGAAGCCCGCGGCCGCGUCCUUGGCCCUCCUCCAGGGGAACCUCGAUUUUUCCAAUCUCAGGAAGGCCGGCUGUCCUUCGGCUACUGAUAAGGACGCGACCGCAUGGUAAAAGAUUUUAACAAUGCCCGGAAAGAAAUAGCCGGACCCAAGAAAGAGACUAAUAAUAGCAGCCCGCUAGAGUUCUGCUCGUGUGCUCAGCGCUCUUAAGAACAAUAAUAACGACAACAACCAUAAGAGCCACCAUUUAUUGAGCGCUUACUCUGUGCCAGGCACUGUGUUAAGCGUUUUGCAGGCAACAACCCUCGGAGAAGAGGCCACAAGACUGGUAAAUGGCAAUCUGGGCAUCCACCAGGAGGAUCUAACUUUAAUGCCAUGUUCCCAUCACCGGAAUGUACAAGCUGAUCCAACUGAACAGAAGAGUGUCCUCGUCUGCGUUGUGGGGACACUGAGGUAAGUAACUGGGAGCUGCAUUCAUCAUUGUUGUGAAGAACAGCCUGGGCAGGACUAGAAGAAAGAAUCCACAACCUGUGAGGAUCUUUGGAGAGCAGGGACAGAAGAGAUACGGUCACAGCCAGUGUGAGGCUGUCAAACGGGGAAGCAGCAGGACUGGGGGUGAUGCAUCACGGGGCCACCUGCUGGUCUCCCUGCCCGAAGGACUGGCACCCAUCGCUCUGGUACCUCAGACU